GCCCGGUUAGCUCAAUCGGUAGAGCGUGAGACUCUUAUUCACAGCUCUAUUAGCAGCGAUUGCAAUCUCAAGGUUGCGGGUUCGACCCCCGCAUCGGGCU